rnacentral:rRNA from 1 species
CCCCUAGAUGUUCUGGGCCGCACGCGCGCUACACUGAACAGUUCAACAAGUCUUAACCUUGGCCGAUAGGUCUGGGUAAUCUUUGAACGCUGUUCGUGAUUGGGAUAGACCUUUGCAAUUAUGGGUCUUCAACGAGGAAUUCCUAGUAAACGCAAGUCACCAGCUUGCAUUGAUUACGUCCCUGCCCUUUGUACACACCGCCCGUCGCGCCUACCGAUUGAAUGGUCCGGUGAAAUCUCGGGACGGCGGCUUGGUCGCUUGCGUCCGACUGCUGAAACUUGAUUAAACCAUAUCAUUUAGAGGAAGGUGAAGUCGUAACA